UAAGACGAACCUUGCUAACGUUAUUCGGAAUUACUGGGCUUAAAGGGUGCGUAGGCGGUGCAGCAAGUCGGGUGUGAAAGCCCUCAGCUCAACUGAGGAAUUGCGCCCGAAACUGCUGUGCUUGAGGAAUACAGAGGUAUGCGGAACUUAGGGUGGAGCGGUGAAAUGCGUUGAUAUCCUAAGGAACACCGGUGGCGAAAGCGGCAUACUGGGUAUUUUCUGACGCUCAUGCACGAAAGCUAGGGUAGCGAACGGGAUUAGAUACCCCGGUAGUCCUAGCCGUAAACUCUGAGCACUUGGUUGAAGGGUCCUCCAUAGCCUUUUAGCCGUAGCGAAAGUGUUAAGUGCUCCGCCUGGGGAGUAUGGUCGCAAGGCUG
rnacentral:rRNA from 1 species